AUGAACGCUGGCGGCGUGCCUAAUACAUGCAAGUCGAGCGCACGGACGAGAAGCUUGCUUUUCUGAUGUUAGCGGCGGACGGGUGAGUAACACGUGGAUAACCUACCUAUAAGACUGGGAUAACUUCGGGAAACCGGAGCUAAUACCGGAUAAUAUUUUGAACCGCAUGGUUCAUAAGUGAAAGACGGUCUUGCUGUCACUUAUAGAUGGAUCCGCGCUGCAUUAGCUAGUUGGUAAGGUAACGGCUUACCAAGGCAACGAUGCAUAGCCGACCUGAGAGGGUGAUCGGCCACACUGGAACUGAGACACGGUCCAGACUCCUACGGGAGGCAGCAGUAGGGAAUCUUCCGCAAUGGGCGAAAGCCUGACGGAGCAACGCCGCGUGAGUGAUGAAGGUCUUCGGAUCGUAAAACUCUGUUAUUAGGGAAGAACAUAUGUGUAAGUAACUGUGCACAUCUUGACGGUACCUAAUCAGAAAGCCACGGCUAACUACGUG
rnacentral:rRNA from 1 species